UUUCCGUAGGUGAACCUGCGGAAGGAUCAUUAAUUAUUCAUCGGAAGAGUCCAGGUGGGCUGUGGAGGCAUGGGUUAACCAUGCUUACCACACGCCCCUUCUUCAUGAACAUCCCUUCUGUGUAUCAAACUUCUGUUGCUUCCCGCAUGGCGUGGCCUGCAAGGGUUACCCUGCGGGGAGGAUAUCAUAAACUCUGGUUGUUGUAUUCGUAGUCUGAGUGGUAAACACAAUAAACAAGUUAAAACUUUCAACAACGGAUCUCUUGGUUCUCGCAUCGAUGAAGAACGCAGC
rnacentral:misc_RNA from 1 species